GGAGGACAGCAUUUAAAUUGUAAAUAAAUAAACAAUUAAAAAAGGAGGCUUAAAAUUGCUACUACCUUGGGCUGGAGAGUUGGCUCAGUGGUUCAGCACACUGACUGUUCUUCUAGAGGUUCUGAGUUCCAAACCCAGCAACCACAUGGUGGCCCACAACCAUCUGUAAUGGAAUCCGAUGUCUUCUGGUGUGUCUGAAGAGAGCAACUGUGUACUUACAUACAUAAAAUACAUAAAUCUUUUUAAAAAAUUGCUCCUACCUCAAAGGAUUAUAAAUGGAGAUGAGGAUAAGCAAUUAAGGGGUUAAUACAGUAACUGAUAAUGCUGUCUGUAAAAGUGGUGAACAGUCAUAAUCAUUAUCAUUCAUUGCAAGCCUAAGAUUAAGCAAGUUGAAAUAUGCAAAGUACCAAGCACCACAGCUGUGCACUAUGCUAGGUAAUGAUUAGCUUGUAUUACUUUGACAUUGGUCAUCAGGUUUAACCCUACAGCUCAUUAUAACAUCUAAGAGUGAGAGAGAAACACCCAACCAAGCUCUUCCUCUCCUGAGCCCCAUCUUUGUUCAUGCCAAACUCUGGGGACUUUCUGUGGGGGUCAGACUUUCAUGGUAGUGGAUACAGGGCCCUAUAGGUCCGAAAAGAUGAAGUCUGAGGUAAACACGGUCUCGUUAAAAGCCAUAUUAGAUCUGGGAGCCUGUAACUGUCCCGAAUCCUGCUACUGUUGGUCUGCAUCCCCCCAGCAGCCAUCAGUGUUGUGGAAGAACUACCUCGGAUUCCUAAGCCAGCACUCUUGGUAACAGCCAGUGACAGUUCCCACCUGAUAGUAAAACUGAAGCCUGGAUUUUAUGAUGUGUUCUAACCAUUACACAAAACUCUUUACAUGCAUGCUUUACCGAAGAAAAUGAACAGGGCACAGCUACCAUCAUUCUCUGAAUUUUUACAAGAAUGAAGCUGAGGCUCAAAGACAUUAAUGGAUCCAAAGAUUAAAGUUUCUGAGGGGCAUAGGCAAGAUUUUAGUCUGGAUUCUCUGGGACUCUAACACUCUGCUCUUAACUGUCAUUUAUACCGUGGACAUGACAUUGAACAUAUGCAUAUUACUUACUUUUUCUUUUAGCAAUUUAAAAAAAAUUUCCUUUAGUCAUCAAAUAAACAUUUUCAUAUCCUGCUAUGUCUCAGGGCAACAUUCAAGGGUCCCAUUAUGACAGUUCCCCAAGAUUACUCCUCUCCUUUGCCUUUCAAAUGAUGGUGUGUCCUAAAAAUCGGACGUCGAUUGACUACGUAGCUUAGAAAUUCAACGAGCAUAUUGAGGAUUCUGUGUCCAGGCACAAUGUUAUCUGCAAAGUUGGAGGCCGGUCCCAACAUGGAAUAGGUUUGGCUUCUCACCCCACAAAUCAUCGCCAUGGACUUCGUGUCUAGAAACACUGUCUUCAGACACACCAGAAGAGAGCAUCAGAUCCAUUAUAGAUGGUUGUGAGCUACCAUGUGGUUGCUGGGAUUUGAAUUCAGGACCUCUGGAAGAACGGUCAGUGCUCUUAACCCCUGAGCCAUCUCUCCAGCCUAUGAUGAGAUAUUUUAAAAGGGAACUUUUUCCAUCAAAUGUUCAGUCCAGAAGGAGGAGCAGGUAUCCUCUGUCAUCUUUUCUUAUUCCUUUCAGGUAGGGUCUGUCCUUAAAACUAGGGACUGUGUUUUUUCAGCUAGGCUGGAAGCUAGCAAGCCAUGGUCCCCCUAUUGCUGGGGAUACAAGCACACUUGAACUGCCCAGCUUGUCACUUGGGUGCACAUGAUUGUGUAGCAAGUUUCCACAUCACCGAGCAAACCAGAGUUACUCCCCAGCCCCAUGGGGAGAGCAGUGCAAAGGGGAGAGUUAUUCAGAAGACUAUCUAACAUGCCCACAAGACGCAUGACUGGUGCUACAUCAAGAAAGUAUCAUUUCAAGCAUCUCUAACGAUAUGAGCAGAUCAAACAGAAACCACGAUCGACUCUGCUUCUCUACCUUGUUGGCUCUCCUGUCUCUUACAGGCUUUUUGGUGUCUGAAAGUCCAAGAGUUAGAUCCAGACCCUGCCAUAUCUCCAUGUUACCGCAGUGGCAACUUGACUGUCUUCCUAACUCCAAUCGAUGCCGCAAUGCAAUGGUGACUUCAUUACUAGAUGACUCGGAUUCAGGGAUUUGGACCCCAGAGAGCUUGAAAGUCCUAUUUAUGAAUGUGUCUCUGAGGCUGUUUCUGGAGGAUGGCCUUUGAGUCAGCAGACUGAGCAAGGAGACACCCUUGCAAAUGCUGGUGGGCACAAUCCAAUUCACAAGAGCUAAGGGAGGAUCAAAGGCAGAGGAAGAGACUCGCACUGCUUAGGUUAGACAUCUCCCCCUCUUGUGCUGGACACCGGCACUCUUGGUUCUUGGGUCUUUGAACGCACACUGGAGUUUUGUAUCCAUGUGCCCCUCAGUUCUUAUAAACUUUUGGCUGGAGCUGCAACUGUGCCUUUUGAGGACUGAGACAAGUCAGUCCCUCAUAAUCUCUCUCUAUAUGUCUGUGUACCUUACUGCUUCUGUUUCUCUGAAGAACCCCGAUUGAAAAUUUGGGAAGGAAUACUGCACUACUACUUUCCAGACUCUUUCUCUCCAUUUCUUUUAGUUUCUUAAGUAUAUCUAGUAUUUUGUGGUUGUUAUUUUUUCAAGACAUGGCAAAUUGUUCAUCACAGUUCUAAAGGGGCGUGGUCCUAGAUCAGAAUACUAGGGUGAGAACUCAGUGAAUGACAGAUGCAUUAACGAAGUUACCAACCACGGGCAGAAGUAACAAAGGCUCUAACCUAAGUUAAGGAACAGAAUUUCAAAGUGGAUAGAAAUAGUCGGAUGAGUAACUUCACACACAAGGAACAGUGAGUGGCCUGUGCCCUGCUACCACUGAGGAUGGUAGUAACCCUGGAGAGUAUUUUUAUAAUGCUGCCUUCUGUAGACUCAUGACUCAGAAGGAAAUUCACACGAGGAGGUGUCUUAGUGUUCUACUGCUGCAAGGAGACAGCAGACGAAGGCACCUCUUAGACAAGAAAGCACUUACUUGGAGGCUUGCUUACAGUCAGAGGGUUCAUCCAUGAUCAUCAUGACAGAAAGUAAACAUGCAUGGGGCCAAGAGCUUACACCUUGAUCCAAAGGCAGUAGGCAAAGUGAGAGAGACUAGGCUGGGUGUGGACUUUUGAAACCUCGAAGCCCACUUCCAGUGAUGCACGUUCUCCAACAGGACCACACUUCCUUAUCCUUCCCAACAGUUCCCCAGCUGGGAAAGAAGCAUGUGACAAUACAGGAGACUAUGGGGCCAUUCUCACUCCACCCUCCACAGGAGGAGAACGGGAUUAUAACAGAGAUGUGAUGUUUGUUAUCCUGAGAAGUGAAAAGCGGGCUGAGCUGAGGCCAGGCUAGACUUCGCCUCUGGAGCUCCUCUUCUCCUCUUUAGCAUCUUCUCUUUUGCCCUUCAUGUUUGCUCAGUGCCUUUUCUUGCCACCCACAUGAAGACCUGCUUUACUGUGCACUUCUGCACAGAAUAUGCACAUGCAAUCACAUAAAGUCUCCUUCUUUCCCUCCUCUCCAUUUGCUCAUCUCCAGCUCAUUCAGGUUUUCAGAGAAAGGACGUGGUCAGAAGAUCUAUCUCACCUCUAUCAGCUGUUGGGUCUGAAAUUAGGAUCCGGUCACGUGGGGUGGGGGUUGGGUGGCCUAUGGGAACUGGGAGCCUGCUAAGCAUUUAGCAUGAGUCAGAUGCCAUUUCAAAUACUUCGUGUGCAUUAACUCAUUGGUUUCAUCGCAGCCCUGUGGAACAGAUUCCUGUAUCUCCAUUUAACAGAUUAGCAAGUGAACAUUACAUCCUCAGGUCCAGACAGAGAGAUGAGCAAUGGAAAAGCUGACUUAUCAUCGUGGGGUAGUGCAGAUAAUACGUAGUGAAGAGUCAACCUGAGCACCUGUGGCUCUAGCAUAACUCCUUCAACUGUUGUCAUCUAAAGCUUGAGUGGGUCGGGAUUGUCCAAGAGGACCUCAUGCAUAUGCUGGACAACUAUCUGAGGCUGUAGGCUCAGGCCCCCUCCUCCAAGUGAUCUUUUCAAAGGGUACUUCGGGUUCUUUGCUUAGUAGCUAGAUAUGAAGAAUUCCAAAUGUCAUCCAGAGAAUUACAUUGAUGCAGCAGCAGCCUCCAAAUAUGUCACCACACUGAGUUGUCACACAGAACACACAGUCAGGCAGACCAAAUCAAGAUCCUUGAGUGACACACACACACACACACACACACACACAUAUAAACACACACAUAUAUAAACACACACAUAUGUAAAACACACACAGAUAUAUAAAUACACACAUACACACACGUAUAUAAACAUGCACACACAUAUAUAAACACACAUACACACACACAUAUAUAAAACACACACAUAGAUAUAUAAACACAUACACACACACAUAUAUAUAUAAUCACACACACAUAUAAACACACACAUAUAUAAACACACACAUAUAUAAACACACACAUAUAUAAACAUACACACAUAUAUAUAAACACACAUAUAAACACACACAUACACACACAUAUAUAUAAACACACAUAUAUAAACACAUACACACAGAUAUAUAAACACAUACACACACAUAUAUAUAAAAACACGCACGCACGCGCACACACACACACACAUGUUUAACAUAAAAACAUGCCUUUAAAUUCUUUUGUCCCCAUUUAGAAGUGGGGUCUGUAUACUGGUGAUGCUCAAUCUUGACUGUCAACUUGAUUGGAUUAAUAAAGGCCUAGGAGAUUAGUGAAGCACACUUGGAGCUGCUUGUAAUGACACACACAGAGACAAUUAAAUCAUGAGGGCUCAGGCUUAAUCAAUAGAUUAAUCACUUGAUGGAUUCCUAAUGUGGUAGCAGUAAAAGAUAGGAAGUGGUGGCUCCUGGGAGGAAGUCUCUGGGGGCAUGUCCUCAGGGCCUGCUUUGGCUGGCUCUUUGGUAUUUCCUUUUUCUUUCUGCUUCCCCUCCCCCAGCAAGGGAGGCUUGCCCUGUGCUACCUGCUCUUGCCACCACCAUGACUUCUCAGAGCACUCAAAGCCAAACAACCAGAGGCCGGACACUCUGAAACUGUGAGCCCACAAUACAACUUGAUACUUUGUUUCUUUAAGGCAUGUUGGUCACAGCAACUAAAGAAGCAGAAGAGUGCCUUCCCUCUGACUCUGGGCUGGCUUUAGUGGCUUGCUUCCCCAGCUAGUAGAACAGAGAAUAUAAUAUGAGAGAUGUUACCUGACUUCCAAGGACAGGGCUGAAGAGGACACAAGCCUGGCUCCUUUCAGAGUCUCAUGUUGGGGAAAGUCAAUGGCCAGGUCAAAAGUUUGCCGUGUUGGAAGGGCUGAGUUUCCAGGUAGCCAGCAGCCAGUGUCACAUGUCAGCUACAUGGUGAGUCAUUUUGGAUGUCUGGCCCACAUAAACCUUCGAAUGGCAGCAUCUGAUCGCAACUAAUUUAAAGACUUCAAGAAAGAGCUGCAAAAUCACAGGCAAAAUAAACUAAGCCACUAAAGUUUGGUUCACUCAAAGAACAACGACCAGCUAGCACAACUGACUCACUGAUGAUGCCUGGGCAGUGUUCUUGUGCCCUGCUCCUGAGCUGUGCUGGUCUUCUCUCCAGGAAGUGUAUUAUAGGGACUAAGCAGGACAAUGAGGACUGUGCACAUGAUCCUGCUUCUGUCAGUCUCCCUCCCUUUUCAUCCCCGCCCUCCCCACUCCAGCUGCCUCUGUAGAAAGAGGGCAGUAUUCCUCUGCAAAGGCUGGGUAUAGGGAACGGAAGUCACCAAUGAGGCCACUGAGAAUUUAUCCCCUUGUCUUAUUUUAUCUGGUUCAUGCCAUGACCUAUGAAGUUCUAGCCUUCAUCCCAGUGUGUUAGUCAAUCAUAAGAUGGGAUCCACAUUUCCUGGCUACAGUAGCAGAGAGUCUGUUCCUGGCUUCCUUCGGGUGAAGAUAUAGAACUCAACUUCUCCUGCACCAUGCCUGCCUGGAUGCUGCCGUGCUCCUGCCUUGAUGAUAAUAGACUGAACCUCUGAACCUGUAAGCCAGCCCCAAUUAAAUGUUGUCCUUCUUAAAACUUA